rnacentral:rRNA from 1 species
UACAGAGGUCCCAAGCGUUGUUCGGAUUUACUGGGCGUAAAGGGUGCGUAGGUGGUGAGGUAAGUCUAAUGUGAAAUCUCCGAGCUUAACUCGGAAACUGCAUCGGAUACUAUCUCGCUCGAGGGUUGGAGGGGAGACUGGAAUACUUGGUGUAGCAGUGAAAUGCGUAGAUAUCAAGUGGAACACCAGUGGCGAAGGCGAGUCUCUGGACAACUCCUGACACUGAGGCACGAAGGCCAGGGGAGCAAACGGG